AAAGUCGUAACAAGGUUUCCGUAGGUGAACCUGCGGAAGGAUCAUUAACAAAUUCCAAAACUCGUGUUUGGUCAUGGUUCGGCAUUAGAUGCGCCGGUGUGCUUGAUUUGCGGGGGUGCCGUUGCCUAGUGUUGCGGCAUUACCUGAAAUUAUGCGCAUCGGUUCUCUGAUGACCGCCAUGAUCAAUUUACAACACAAACAACAAUUACAUUUAUUUUCGACAACCAAUGGAGAACCAAAAAUCGUUAAUCAAAUACAACUUUUAACAAUGGAUCUCUCGGCUCUU
rnacentral:misc_RNA from 1 species